UACGUAGGGGGCAAGCGUUGUCCGGAAUCAUUGGGCGUAAAGCGCGUGUAGGCGGUUCAGUAAGUCUGCUGUGAAAGUCCAGGGCUCAACCCUGGGAUGCCGGUGGAUACUGCUGGGCUAGAGUACGGAAGAGGCGAGUGGAAUUCCCGGUGUAGCGGUGAAAUGCGUAGAUAUUGGGAGGAACACCAGUGGCGAAGGCGGCUCACUGGACCCGGUUCUGACGCUGAGGCGCGAAAGCGUGGGGAGCAACAGG
rnacentral:rRNA from 1 species